UGAAUCCAGCUAUGAAUGGGUUAAACUGAGGUUUAACUGAGGUAAACCUGCAUUUGGGGCUUGCAAGGGAUUCCCUUGGAGUCUAAGUCCAGGUUUAGAUGGGUUAAACUGACUUUUAGGGCUUCCAAGUGCAGGUUUAAAUGAGUUAAACUUGCAUUGAGGGCUUGCAAGUGAUCCACUCAGCUUCAUGUCCAGGUUUAACUGGGCUAAACC
rnacentral:lncRNA from 1 species